AUUUGCUAUCUGGAGAUGGGGAGAUAGUGGCGAAAUACUUUUCGCACUGGUUGAUAGCUGGUUAUUCCGGAAAUAUAUCUAAGUAUAGCUCUUCGGUUGAUGGGGUUUACAGUUUAAUAAUUCUAAUAGUAUUUAGGGUGUUCUAUCGAAGGAGUUAGCCCCCUCAGGCUAAGCUGAGGGGGCUAUUUUAAAGGAUGGUUAACUAAGAAUGGAAAGGCUAAGAAGUGGGCUUGAAGGAGCUAUCUUUACAGAGUGGGUUAAACCACAAAUGGGCCUUGUACAAUAAAUCAAAUUUUACCUAUCUUUGUGUUGUACGGAAUCUCUUUUUGAAAUAAUAGUCAUAGAGGUGAUAAUGUAAAGAUGAGUAGUCGAGAAGUUGUAAGUGUUUUAAGGUCGGGGAGAGAAACGUAAAGGUAUGUUCCGUAUCUUUAAAAAAAGCUAAAGGAACUCGGCAAAUAAGGGGACCGCCUGUUUAUCAAAAACAUGGCUCCCUGAGCAAUAUUGGGGGUCGUGCCUUCCCGGUGAGCUUGC
rnacentral:rRNA from 1 species